UUCAGAGAACUUUUGUAUAUCAAUCAAGUUUCCUGUCCAUGCCAUACAGCCAAAACCAUUAUAAUAUGAAUAAGCGACACAAGAACAAUUCAUCAAGCACUCAUCUUUGCAUUCUUGUUCGGAGGACGGAUUUGACCAGUACUCGGCAAAGGUUGGCACCUUCAUCAUCUCUAGCUUGAUAAACCCAUCUUCUUUUCCCACUUCACUACCAUUCUGUAUUCUAUCACACUGCAACGAUGUCAUCCUAACACAACCACUAGUCCAAAUUCCUUUGUUCCAUUCAUCUUGAUUUUUUGCAACAAACCCUUUUAAACAUGUGCAGAUAGGUGAAUUCUGUUCAUCGCAGCUUCCAAAUGACCCGCACUUGCCAUAAAUAUCACACUCAGUUGAUGGAGCUUCCCAGUCAGACGUCAAACCUCCCUUCCCAUAAUCCCAG